rnacentral:rRNA from 1 species
UACGAGAGGCCCAAACGUUAUUCGGAAUUACUGGGCUUAAAGAGUUCGUAGGCGGCAUUGCAAGUAGGGUGUGAAAGCCCUCGGCUCAACCGAGGAAUUGCGCUCUAAACUGCAGUGCUUGAGGAAGCUAGAGGUGAGCAGAACAGAUGGUGGAGCGGUGAAAUGCGUUGAUAUCAUCUGGAAUACCGGAGGCGAAGGCGGCUCACUGGGGCGUUUCUGACGCUGAGGAACGAAAGCGUGGGUAGCGAACAGG